UACGUAGGGUCCGAGCGUUGUCCGGAAUUAUUGGGCGUAAAGGGCUCGUAGGCGGUCUGUUGCGUCGGGAGUGAAAACUUACAGCUUAACUGUGAGCGUGCUUCCGAUACGGGCAGACUUGAGGUAUUCAGGGGAGAACGGAAUUCCUGGUGUAGAGGUGAAAUUCGUAGAUAUCAGGAGGAACACCGGUGGCGAAGGCGGCUUCCUGGACACUUACUGACGCUGAGACGCGAAAGCGUGGGGAGCAAACAGG
rnacentral:rRNA from 1 species